rnacentral:rRNA from 1 species
ACAGCAGCCGCCGCGGUAAUACAGAGGGUGCGAGCGUUAAUCGGAUUUACUGGGCGUAAAGCGUGCGUAGGCGGCUAAUUGAGUCGGAUGUGAAAUCCCUGAGCUUAACUUAGGAAUUGCAUUCGAUACUGGGAAGCUAGAGUAUGGGAGAGGAUGGUAGAAUUCCAGGUGUAGCGGUGAAAUGCGUAGAGAUCUGGAGGAAUACCGAUGGCGAAGGCAGCCAUCUGGCCUAAUACUGACGCUGAGGUACGAAAGCAUGGGGAGCAAACAGGAUUAGAUACCCCCGUAGUCCCUGUCUCUUAUAC